UACGGGAGGCAGCAGUGGGGAAUAUUGCACAAUGGGCGAAAGCCUGAUGCAGCUAUGCCGCGUGUAUGAAGAAGGCCUUAGGGUUGUAAAGUACUUUCAUCGGGGAGGAAAAACAAAACUAAUAAUUUUAUUUCUUGACGUUACCCGAAAAAGAAGCACCGGCUAACUCCGUGCCAGCAGCCGCGGUAAUACGGAGGGUGCUAGCGUUAAUCAGAAUUACUGGGCGUAAAGAGCACGUAGGUGGUUUUUUUAAGUCAGAUGUGAAAUCCCUGGGCUUAACCUAGGAACUGCAUUUUGAAACUGAAAUACUAGAGUAUCGUAGAGGGAGGUAGAAUUCUAGGUGUAGCGGUGAAAUGCGUAGAUAUCUGGAGGAAUACCUGUGGCGAAAGCGGCCUCCUAAACGAAUACUGACACUGAGGUGCGAAAGCGUGGGGAGCAAACAGGGAUUGAUACC
rnacentral:rRNA from 1 species